rnacentral:rRNA from 1 species
UACGGGGGGGGCAAGCGUUGUUCGGAAUUACUGGGCGUAAAGGGCUCGUAGGCGGCCAACUAAGUCAGACGUGAAAUCCCUCGGCUUAACCGGGGAACUGCGUCUGAUACUGGAUGGCUUGAGGUUGGGAGAGGGAUGCGGAAUUCCAGGUGUAGCGGUGAAAUGCGUAGAUAUCUGGAGGAACACCGGUGGCGAAGGCGGCAUCCUGGACCGAUACUGACGCUGAGGAGCGAAGGCCAAGGGAGCAAACGGG